UGGGGAAUAUUGGACAAUGGGGGGAACCCUGAUCACCCAUGCCGCGUGUGUGAAGAAGGCCUUAUGGUUGUAAAGCACUUUAAGCAGUGAAGAAUACAUCAUGGCUAAUAUCCGUGAUGAAUGACAUUAGCUGCAGAAUAAGCACCGGCUAACUCUGUGCCAGCAGCCGCGGUAAUACAGAGGGUGCGAGCGUUAAUCGGAAUUACUGGGCGUAAAGCGAGCGUAGGUGGUUUAUUAAGUCAGAUGUGAAAUCCCUGGGCUUAACCUAGGAACUGCAUCUGAUACUGACAAACUAGAGUAGGUGAGAGGAAAGUAGAAUUCCAGGUGUAGCGGUGAAAUGCGUAGAGAUCUGGAGGAAUACCGAUGGCGAAGGCAGCUUUCUGGCAUCAUACUGACACUGAGGUUCGAAAGCGUGGGUAGCAAACAGGAUUAGAUACCCUGGUAGUCCACGCCGUAAACGAUGUCUACCAGUCGUUGGGUCUUUUAAAGACCUAGUGACGCAGUUAACGCGAUAAGUAGACCGCCUGGGGAGUACGGCCGCAAGGUUA
rnacentral:rRNA from 1 species